GAUGAACGCUGGCGGCGUGCCUAAUACAUGCAAGUCGAGCGAACGGACGAGAAGCUUGCUUCUCUGAUGUUAGCGGCGGACGGGUGAGUAACACGUGGAUAACCUACUUAUAAGACUGGGAUAACUUCGGGAAACCGGAGCUAAUACGGGAUGAUAUUUUGAACCGCAUGGUUAAAAAGUGAAAGACGGUCUUGCUGUCACUUAUAGAUGGAUCCGCGCUGCAUUAGCUAGUUGGUAAGGUAACGGCUUACCAAGGCAACGAUGCAUAGCCGACCUGAGAGGGUGAUCGGCCACACUGGAACUGAGACACGGUCCAGACUCCUACGGGAGGCAGCAGUAGGGAAUCUUCCGCAAUGGGCGAAAGCCUGACGGAGCAACGCCGCGUGAGUGAUGAAGGUCUUCGGAUCGUAAAACUCUGUUAUUAGGGAAGAACAUAUGUGUAAGUAACUGUGCACAUCUUGACGGUACCUAAUCAGAAAGCCACGGCUAACUACGUG
rnacentral:rRNA from 1 species